rnacentral:rRNA from 1 species
UCUAAAAAUAAAAAGGUAAUAUCCUUGGAGAAACCUAUACUCUUUGACGGCCUUCUUUCUUAUUAAAGGAACUUGUUAUCGAAUCGAAACUACGCGUUAAUUUUUCCUCCUCUUUCAAAGCUUUUAUACCGUCGUCUUAAGGAUUUACUUAGAAGUCUACUCUAAAUUUAUUAUCAAAACAAGUCAGAUCAAGGUGAAGCCUGUAUGGGAGAAUUUAAUGAGUUAUCAAUAAAAAUAAUUUAUAGAUUUUUAUUUUAAAAAAU